UACGUAGGGUGCGAGCGUUGUCCGGAAUUAUUGGGCGUAAAGAGCUCGUAGGCGGUCUGUCGCGUCGGAUGUGAAAACUCGGGGCUCAACCCCGAGCCUGCAUUCGAUACGGGCAGACUAGAGUCGGUAGGGGAGACUGGAAUUCCUGGUGUAGCGGUGAAAAUGCGCAGAUAUCAGGAGGAACACCGGUGGCGGAAGGCGGGUCUCUGGGCCGAUACUGACGCUGAGGAGCGAAAGCGUGGGGAGCGAACAGG
rnacentral:rRNA from 1 species